CACCUUUGGCAAUACAAUCUACUCCAGGAACCCAGAGAAAGGGUACCUGUCUGGGGAGAGGGAGGCACGACCUAAAAGAUAGGCAUUAUGAAGGACAGCAGAAAAUCUACACCAUCAGGAUUCAACCCAACACCUGAUGUGAUCCUGUGGGAUUCAUGGUUACAGUUGUUUCUCAAGUACUACUUUGCUUCUAGAUAAAAUAAAUGGGAGGGGGGUCAUUCUCCGGUGGGUCCAUGAGACCAUUAGAAUAAGCCCCCUGGUCUGCCUUGCCCUGGAGGAACUAUGCCUGGAAUUGUUUGGGUUUGGAGUCUGAAGGCUGGAGUUGCAUGCCCACUUUGGCUACAAAGUUGCCCUGUGACUGUGGCCCCAUGAUGUGAGAUAUCAAAGCCUGGGCCUCCAGGUCUUAUAACGGGGAGCAUUCCAGUAAUAUUAGCAAAAUGCCGAGUGGUCAGGAGUUGAAAAUGAGAUAAUAAAUGUUAAAAAUCGGAGUGAGGUUUUAUUAACUUGCCUUGCCCAGCCCAACACCCCUCCCCAUGAGCUCCCGAAGGAAAUAUGAAUGGAGAGAAGCCUGUCCAAGGAAACCUGGGAGACAUCUGCCAACCGGGCUUAAUCCCCAGACUCCUGCUGUGGAUGUCGGAGAAUCAAGCUGAAGCGCUUGGCCUGUUCUCUCCUCAGCUCCCGAUGCCCCUUGCUGCAGUCCAAAAGAGACAAAUUUUAACCCAUAGAAGGACAAGAGAAAGCACUGGCCUCACAGCAGCCCCUGCGACAAUUUACUGCAUCUUCCAUCUUCUGCAUGGUUGGAAGAAAGAAGAGAUCAAGAUCCAGUCUCUUGAGCUCAUCUGUUAGUAUGUGCGCAGCCAGGACCCCCAUUGCAAAUGUGCCCCAUAGGUGUCCCGGAGUCUGUCAGAUGCACACUAUUCCUUCUGUGUGGGAGCCGGGGGAGUGUUGAGUGGUGGUAAGAAGCAAGGGGAAGGAUGAAGGCUUCUGCUCCCCAAGCUAGCCCUGAUGUGGGCAUGCUUACUAUGUCUAGUGUGGUGUGACCUCCGCCUGCUCUGCUUUUCUGGUCAUAUUAUUCCUUGUGUGCUUUCUCUCCGUGUGGUUUAUUCUUUCAUCGCUUUCCCAAAAGCAGUCACUGAACACGUAUUUUACCCCAUACUCUUUGAGAGACAAUGAGCCUACAGAGAUGAACAUGAUGUGUUUCCUGCCCUCCAGGAACAAUAAAAAUCAGAAUUAAUAAUAACUACACAGAAUAUGUUUCUUACCCAGAGGAAGGGGCAAUAUGUCUGUGCCCACUGCUUUUUUCACUCCAGCUUACUCCAGUUCAAACCUAGGAAUCCGAAGUAUUAUUUUACUGAAUUAUCAGAGCAACCUAACAACAUAAAUUUCUGUUAUAAAGAAGGAGUAAGGGCCAGCCUGGUGGUGUAGCGGUUAAAUUUGUGCACUCCACUUCAGCGGCCCGGGGUUCUCAGGUUCAGAUCCCGGGCAUGGUCCUACGCACUGCUCAUCAAGCCAUACUGUGGCAGGUGUCCCACAUAUAAAAUAGAGGAAGAUGGGCACAGAUUUUAGCUCAGGUCCAAUCUUCCUCAGCAAAAAGAGGAGGAUUGGUGGCAGAUGUUAGCUCAGGGCUUAUCUUCCUCACCAACAAAAAAAAAAGAAGAAGAAGAAGAAGAAGGAGUAAAUUGAUACACAGAGAGGUUAUGUGACUUGUUUCUGGUCACACAGUAAGUAAAUGAAAGAGUUGGACAGAAAGAUAGUUUUCCCUGACUUAAUAAGUGCAUGCCCUUAACUUUUUUGCUGUACCACCUUCUAGCUCCUAAUUGUAUAUGUAUAUUUUCUCUGUAAACUGUGAAGAACAGGUAUGCAAGGUAUGAUCAUGUUGUUGACAUUUAGAAAAUAAAACUCAUUAGGCUUUUAGACAACUUGCAAGAUUUUUGGUUACUAAUUCUCUCUGUAGCCAGGUGUGAUUGUAGUAUGUGAUUAGAAAAAGAAGGGAAUUGCAGACAAAUAGUUCUUGAACACACUCAGUAGCGUCUUCGGUAUAAUUUCUGAUGUGGGCAGCUCUCAUAUACAUCCGGGGAGGACAAAAAGGAGUGAGUCCCCCAGUGGGGCUCACGUCAACUCUUGGAGCUGGUUCGAGAUGAAAUCCAUCUUGGAAAAUGUGAACAGAGCCACCAAAACUAUGAACAAGGUGAGGGAAAAAAAGGAAGAACAGAUUCCCAAAGCCCGAUGGACGUGGGCUCAGUCUCAGCCUUGCCACUCACUGGUUUUGCGACCUUGGACAUGUUACUUAUCCUCUUUUGCCUCAAUGUUCUCAUCUGUAAGGUGGGUAUGACAACAGUCUCCACCUGUUUUUGUCAGGGUAAUUAGUUCAUGCUAGCUUCCAUUAAAAAAACAAAACCAAAUAUCAGUGCCUAACAGCAAUAAACAUUUCUUGCUCAUACAAACUGAUGGAGGUCUCACAUCUUUCCUGGAUGUCUCUCCUUGAAGCAAUAACUCAGGGAUCCAGCCAUGUCCAUCAUUUGGCUCCACUACUCUGGAAUCCUUAAUCUUGAAGUCCAGGCUUGAAAACAUGGGGGCAUCAAGAUGGAUACUUAUCCAUCUCAGCCUGGAGAGGCAUGCAUUGUUCUGCUCCAUUCAGAACAAGAUACAUGGCCAACCAAGCCGAGGCAGGCUGGGAGAUGUGGAGGUGUCACUGGUGAACGCUCAGAAUCUCUCACACUGUCUCAUAGAGUUGUUGUGAUUAAACGAGUUAAUACAUACAGCAUCAUCACUUAUGUGCUUAGUCCAGCGUCUAGCACUACUAAGUACUCAAAACCUGCUAAGAGUACUGCUAUUACUUCUCUCUUCCUCCUCCCAUCUGGGAUGCAGAGGAAAGCAUACUUAUACCAAAACAGAGAGUAAGCCAGGGAUAAGUUCCAGGGCAGCAGUAGCAAAAGGAAUAAAAAUCAAGUCCUGUCUAGAAAGCAAUGAUGGGCUUCUGAACCGAUGCAAAAUCACUUUCUUGAUGUAUGUCACUUUGGCAUCACCCCUGGACCCCACAUUGCAAGCAGGGAGAUGCAGCAGCUUGAAUCUUGAGUUUCCAGAUUUCACUCAUGAACCAGGACCGUUCCCCGUGCAAGGCUGAAGGUGUCUGCCGCUUCUCUGCCCAACUCCAGUUCUUCGUGCUCCUGAUUGCUGAACAUCCAUGUCUGCCGCCAUGAUUUACCUUCUACUCUAGCUUCUAGCCUUUCCACCCCCUCCUUAACUAGUGUCUCAGAUCGACUAUCUAAACUCCUGCCCCUGUGUACAGUCUUGGCACAUAUGGCCCCGCAAUAUUGGGAAUAUUCCCACUAUAGUCUGAGAAAAAGAAACCUCAGCCAGUUAUUGGUACAGUUGGACCUCAAACUUGCCCUCCAACUGCCCAUCUCAAGCUGUUCUUGCUGCCUCUGCCCGACCUGUGAAUUUCCCGUUCCUAGAUGGACCAGAUACCAUCAGUGAGUUUGACACAACAGCGUGUAUCCACAGGGAUUCCGUCGGCGUUUUAUUCUUGAAAUCAUCAAAGAACUUAGUGCUGUAAUGCUGGAGGCAAACAUCCUCCCGUUGUAGCUCUACAUCCUUGUCCUUUGCAGACCUGAAGGUAUUUUGGUUGAGUGAGGACAGCCUUUCUGGAGGUCAGCUAAUCUCGCGUUGGGGGAGGAGGAGCUGGCGAGGUGAUUUGGUGUUCUUUGUGGGCAGGAUUUCAUGAGUGCCCUUGAAAAUGGACCAUCUGAUAUAACAAAAUUAAAGAGCAUUAAAAAGAAAUGUCCCCAAUCCUCUCAUCUUAAAAAUGUAUGCAGCAUUGUGACAGAUACUGUUUUAAGUGCCGGACAUGUUUCAACUUACAAAACGCUCAUGCAGCCAUAUGAUCUCCCACUUUGCAGAAGAGGAAACUGAGGCAUACUUAUAUACCUGCCCGAAGUCCCACAGCUAGAAAUGGUGGAGUAGAGUUUUGAUCCCAAGGAAGCUGGCUCGAGAGCUUGGACUUUUAAUGCUCAUGAGUCCUGCCGCUUAGUAAGGGAUAAUUGUUCAGUACAACGCUUCUUGUACAUUCCUUUUCCAGUUUCAGCCCAGAAGGAAAUAUUUCCCCAUCAAUUCAAUCAGAGCAUUCACAUCACCUUGCUUCCUGUAGUUUUAUGUAACAUUAGCUUAUAAACAUUAUUUCAUCUUGCCAGUUUUCUUGAUGAUAUGUUGUAACGAUUACAUGAUGUUCAUAUAUAUCACUUAACCAUUUAUUCCUUUUAUUUCAUCUAUUCCACAAAUAGCUAAUAAGUAGCUGCUAUGUGCAAGGCAAAAGGCUAAGCACUAGGUGCAUUACAAUGAAUCAGGCAGAAUCUCUGUGCUGAAGACAGUCAGGUUCACGGGGGACAUUGUAACAGAUAAAAGAAGGUGGGAGUUCAGCUCUAGAGAUGCACAUUGUGUUCGGUGUAUAAAGGAGCUGGGGAGCUGGAGGUGGAAGAUCCCCAUCAGCGUGUCUGGGAGGCUGGCCCCUUUUGAAGGAGUGCAGCAGAGGGAGUGGAUGUUGACUUCAGCAUCCCGGAUCCUUUGCCAGGCAAGUCCGCUCACGAAGCCAUGAGCAGAGGGGCUCUGCUAUCUCCAGGGCCAGAACUCCUGCCACACAGGUACGUCCCUAAUCAGAACAAGUGAGGCAGUGUGGAUUCCUGAGUUGGGAUAUUUCAUGCCCAAGAAGUAAGUCAUUGAGUCCACGGGCACAUGCAUUUCCUUCUGUGAAUAGCUCUGACCCUUCCAUCCAUGAGCUCCAUUGCUGUCUUCUGCAAAACUCUUCCUUGCUGAGUCCUUUCCUUUUAUAUCAUGCCUGUUUCUUCAAAUAUCUUGUUAACCAAAAUUUCCUUCUCACUCUCCAUGUCAUGCGUACCUACCUGUACUGGCUUGAAGCAUUUAUUCUUUACUCAAAAUCAUAAUGAACAAGAUAUUUACUAGUAUACUUGGUUGCAACAUCAUGUCUUUUUACAUACAGAACUCUUUACAAGUACUUCCCUGUCUAUAUUAUCAAAUUUGACAGUGUGCCCCUGUUUUGGAAAAUGGCAGCUAACAUUUAUGAGUGCCUCCCAUGUGCCAUGGCACUAUUCUAAAUGUAGUAUGUGGGGCAACUCAUUGAAUCUUCGUAGUAAUCCAUUAAAAUGGCAGGAUUAUACCUAUUUUGCAGAUGGAGAAACUGAGGCCUAAGGAGGUUCAGGGCCAUCCUCCAGGUCACAUGACUAGAACGUCAUACAGCUGGGUAUGUUGAACUCAUUCAGUUCUGACGUCACUGCCUGCAUGUUUCACCACCAUGCUUAUCUGCCUCUCACUGUGCAAUAAUGUUAUAAUUCUUCCCCAUUAGAGGGCUGGUGAGACCAGCGUAUUUCUCCAAAAUAAGCCCGUGAAAGCAUCCUCUGACUCCUGACAAGGCCCAGUGGAGCGGCUCUACCACUUGGAGCAUCAAGCCUCUUCCUCCCUUGAAGAAUGUGCCUCAUGUUCCUACCCACAGGCUUGGACCUGGGGUGCUCCGUGUGUGGCCUGCCCCUGGAUUCUUUGUCUCCACAGGUAGCAUGAGCUCCUGCAGGUAGGCCAGCAGCUGGACAGGUUGGUUUUUGACUGGGGGGUGACCGGAUGACGAGCAUCUGAAAGUUGCAGUGAAAUUACCCGUUGGCUAGAGGUGAGAAUUCCAUCACUGCCCUCCAUUUCUGUUCUGGGAAGGUGGGUAGUCUGGUGGCAGGGAGACGAUCUUGUAACACAUGCCCGCCCAGUUCUACCUGAAUGUGAGAUGUACUGGGUGGCAGUGGAGAGGUGGAUAUACCUCGAACGUGUUGCGUAGAGCCCCCUGGAAGCAGCUCAGUAAAGGCUCCAGUUCUGAGGUGAAGUGUCUGGGCGGACACUGGAGGCUGAAGCUGCCCUUACCUAACUUUGGUGAGUAUAUUCAGAAUGUUCCAGAGCAGUGGUCCCGGACCUGCAGCAUCACCAUAGCCUGGGAGCUUUCUAGAACCACAACUUCUGGGCUCCUCCCCAGCCCUGCAGCUUCAGAAACUCUAGGGUUGGGCUCCAGAAAUCUAAGCUCUAACAAGCUCUCCAGGUGAUUCUGGUGCAGGCUCAAGUUUGAGAACCACUGGUCCAGAGCAAGAACUGGAUUUUAUAGUUCUUAUUGUAAAAUCAGAAAUUCAAAAUAUUUUAUUAUUUCACUUAUUACGGACUUAUGAUAGAAAUCCUACAAUGUGCUUUUAGGAAAAUUAGGAAUAGCAAAAGGAAAAGUUAACAAAAUUGCCCACAAAUCUUCUCUCUUAGCAGGAGAAAAGCAUGAUUAGGGUUUUGGUGUGUUUCUCUUUAGCCCGUUUCCUGCAAAAAUCCUAAUAAAGUUAUCACUAGUUUGCCUUCAUUUGGGUGAGUUAAUGUGAGAAUCACCUCCUGGAUUCAGGCGAGAAGAGGGGAAAGAUAAGGUUGAGACAGCUGGCUCAGUGGUGGAGUCGGGAUCCCCGAUGGGGAUGGGGAGUGUGUGGCUCAAGGCCUCUGUGCCCGCCUUCAUGGAGCCCUGGGGCCGGUGGGGCUUGUCGAGCUGCCCCAGAGGCUGCGGCUCUCGGCUACUCUAAUCCACCUGUGAAUACGGUGCCCCCUUUAUCAUUCUUGUUAGACGGGAUCAGAUUUAUGUCAGCUCAGAAAUCAUUCCAAUGAUCAAAAUAUGUGGAGGGCUGUCAGAGGGAAGAGGGAUUAAUCUCUCUGAUUACAGGAGAAGUGGAGGCCCUUUCAGGGAGGGAAGGAAGCGGGGUGGGUGCGGGAUGGGGUACAUCUUAACUUGGGGUCAGGAAGAGUCUCGAGAUCAGAAUUAAGUGAGAUGGCAGGACUGCCUAAUGAAGGGGAGGGCUCAUGGCCUGAGACCUGCUCGUUCUGAGGAUGAGUUGCACACAGGCAGCCUGCAAGGAAACGAAGCCUGCAGUGUGUCCUGCACGGCCAGCACAGUGCUGACGUUUAACGUCCAGACAUUCCACUGCAGAUCAGGGUAUCUGGUGUCUCUGCAAAACAAGGCGCUCUGGAAACACAGCAGCCAUCUUCCCACAAGGCAGCAAGCAGGGGGAGAUGAGCAGUGGCUGCCCCCUCAGAUGAGGCAUGAGCCCCCCAAUUUGCCCCUUUCCCUCAUCACCCCCUCUGCUCCAUACACUCUUGUUUCCCUGAGUUUGAGUGACAGCUGUCAGUUAGUAUUUCAUUCGUGGUUGUGUUUUCUGACACACCGCCUCCUUGCUGUAUUCAUGUCAAUGAUAAGUAGUAUAAUGUAGUAUUUAAGAGUGCAGAUUCUAGAUCUCAAUUGCUUGGGUUUAGAUCCUGCUCCUGUCUCUCACUGGCUGUGUGACUUUGGGCUAGUUAUUUAACCCGUGUGUGCGUUGUAUUUCCUCAACUUUAAAAUUCAUAAGACAAGGUUGCUAUGAGGAAUUAAUAGGUUAAUCCAGGUGGGAUACAUAGAAUAGUGUCUGGUGGUUAGUCACUAUCCAACUAAAGCUCUACUUAUUAGUGCUAGUGAUCAUAGUUACUACUGCUAGUCAUCAGUUACGUUAUAUACCGGCCACAUCCACAUGUGAGUUACUACUGGUUUAGUGUUCCUUUAGAGCAUCUCUCGUGCUUCCAUACCAUGGGCCCAAAGUCUUCGGAACACAGGGUUUGGGGCACUUUUCCGUCUGGAAUAGAUAUUUGAGACAGGGAGGUUCUGGGCUCCUGGCCAUAUGGAGGCUUCUAGCUGAAUUCAUUCAGAAAUAGUGCUAUCCUCCUUGGCUGGUUGGGACCCUGGUGGGAGCCCUGCAGUCUACCUGUGCAGAGCUGGUGGGAGUGGCAGCAUGGUCAUGUGUGCAUGCGUGUGUGUGUGUGUGUAUGUGCGCAAAAGUGCUUUGCAGAGCAGUCAGUGGACAGUGCAGCAGUGGGGUAAAGAGUCUGUGCUCUAGAGCUGGGUGGCCUCAUUUCAUUCCAGCUCCUCUUUUCCUGGCUGUGACCUGGGGCAAGUCCCUUCGCCACUCUGAGGGUCAGCUUCGCCUCCAUAAAAUGAACACGGUGGUAACUCAGCAGCACAGGCCAUUAUUGAAGGAGGCAGUGUGCGUGUACCAGGCUGGCACACUGCAGACGCUGCAGUUUCGUGCCCUUUCCCUUCUAUUUUCCUAAGGGAAAUGAAGGGCUUGCCAUAGCAUGAGCUUGAACUUAAGCUUGCCAUGUACUGAGAAGGAGCAGAUGGUCCUCAUUUCAGAUCAUCUGGGAGCCUGGGAAAACCAGCUGAUUACUCAGUGUGAGCGCCAGCACGGUCACACGCUCUGAGUCCAGGCACCUGUCUUGAGCUCCUAGGAGCAGAGCUCCAUCCCAGCCCCGACCCCAAGCAAAUGUGCUGCCCCCAGAGCGUGGAGCAGUGCUGCAGUGGCAGUCCUGUGGACUGAACGCAUAAAUGGAUGGCACUCUCACUGUCGGUGACAGACCGGGGGCCGGAGGCGGGACGACAAUGACAGACGGACGGGGGACUCUCAUCCUAAACAUGGGCACCUUCCCUUCCCCAACCCGUUCAUCCAGCAGGCAUGAAUGGCGGGACCAGCAUAGGAAUGGCCUUUGGAGUCUGAAAUGACGGAUUCGGAUAUCUGGCACUCUGUGUAACUCUGGGCAGACCCAUGAGCAGUCUGAGCCUCAGUUUCCCCUUUGCAAAAUGGAAAUUGGACAGUCAAACUGUUGUGGCGAUUAAACACAAUUUGAGGACAAGGCCUGGAACAUCAUAAUUGCUCAAUUAAUAUUAGUUUCCUUUUCCCCUUCCUCUAAUUGUUUUAAAGUGAAGGAAGUGUUUUGGCCUUUGAAAAAAAUCACUUUAUACAUGAAUUAGAUAUUAAAGAAGCUCAUGGUUAAAUACAUCCAUGUCAUCAUAAACUCACUUCAUUCAUCCAUCCAUUCGCUCAUUUUUUUGUUUCAUUUAUUCACUCAAUCAUUCCUUUAAUAGGGACGCCAUUUAUAUGACACCCUUUCUACCAGCACCCUUUAUACAACAAGCCCCUACGAGGCACUAGGGAUGUGAAAAUUAAUAAUACAAAAUUCUUUGCUUGAGGACUUUACAUUCUUUUGAGGGAGACGGAGAAUAGUUACCUAUGCCCUAACUUCAUAUGGUGAGAUAUGCAACUUGCCACUGUUGCAUUAUGGCAUCUGUCCUUGCCUCAUGCAAUCUGUUCCCACUCCUUGUUCGCUCGCCUCCCACCCAGGCAUUAGAUGUGGACACCUUGCAGAGGCUACUUGUUGGUAAAAUGCUCUGUCUGGGCUGAUGGUACAGUUUGAUGAGGUUAAUAGUGAGAUUGCCACUUCCCUUGGCUCCUUCAGGGGUGAACACCAGGCCCCUCCAGCGAGGGAAAGGAGAAUACCAUCCAACUGUUCAUCCCUCCAUUCUUAUAGCAUAGGGACCGAGAGUGAAGAUUCUGGAGCCAGACUGCCUUGGGUCAAAUCCUGGCUCUGCUGCUUAUGAGCUGCAUGAUUUGCAUGAAAUUGCUGAACCAUUCUGGGCCUUGCUUUACUAAUCUACAAAAUGGGGUAGUAAGAGUACUUAAGUGGUUGUAUUGGCUAUCUAUUGCUGUGUAACAUAUUACCCCAAAACUCAGUGGCUUGAAAAACAUUUACCAUCUCACAGUUUUCGUGGGUCAAGGGCUUAGGCACGGCCCAUGUGGGUCCUCUGGCUCUGGGCCUCUCUCAAGGCUGCAGUCACGGGCUCAGCUGUGGCUGCACUGACUUGAAGGCUUGAGGUGGGUCAGGUUCCAAGCUCACUCAAGGCGGUGUUGUCAGGAUACAGUUGCUUUCCGAUGGUUGGGUCUGAGUUCCAGCUCUCAGUUACUCCCACGCUGUUGUCCAGGAGCUUCCCAUGGUCCCUCGCCAUAUGGAUCUCUGCGUAAGGCAGCUCGCAGCGUGUCAGUUUGAUGAUCAGAGAGAGCAAGGGAGAGGAAAAGAGAGAAUGCCAGCCAGCCGGAAGUCCUAGUCUUUUGUCACCUAACCUCAGAGGUGGCAUCCUAUCACUUUUGUGUAUUCUGUUCAUUAGAAGUAAGUCACCAGGUCCAGCCCACACUCAGGGGAGGGGAUUAGACAUGGUGUGACUGCCAGAAGGCGCGAGGGAUCCACGGGAGCCUGUCGGAAACUGCCUCUCACAGUGGUUGUGAGGAUUAAAUGAGUUAUGCGUGUGAAGCAUUUUGAGGAGUGUCAGGGACAUAGUUCACACUUAAUAACUCUUAGCUUAUUGUUAUUACUAACAUUAUUAUUUAUGUCAUUUUUUUCAACAAGUAUUCAUUGUUGCCUACUAUAUCAAAGUCCCCAUCUUCAUUGCUAGUGGAAUUACUAGAGGUGUAACUAGGAGCACAUGAAUUAUAAGUGGAUCCUUCCUCAAAGAACACCCAGUGCCCUGGGGUAUGGAUGUUCAUUUGAAAAACAAAGACCACAGAGUAGAAAAUGAUUGUCCUAUAGUCAGGGGAGGGUAGGGAGGCGGAGCUGGAAGGCCCUGGAUGUGCACAGGGAUUAGCAAUGGCUCAGUUUGCCUGGAAAGCAGGACACUUGAAGGUUGGAAAAUUAGGUUAGUGCCAGAUUGUGACAGCAGUGUGGAGUCCCUCUCCUGUGAAGUGAGAAGCCAGGAAGGACUUUUAAGCUGAGCAAUGUCGUAGGAUAGCUGUAUGGCCUGGAGGGGAGGGGACAAGGUGGAAGGCUCUGGAGCUACCUAUUAAAGUUCAGAAAAGAGGUUAUCUUCUUGGUCACAACAAUCCAAUGGAAAGGAAAUCCAGCGCGAGAAGCCAGUCUAUUUCUCCUUCAAUUCCCUUCUCCAAGUUGUGCCCAUAAGAGACCCCAUUCUCUCCCGCCUAGUCUGAGUACUGCUUAGCUCCUGGAAAACAGUUGUAAGAACUCAGGGCUAAUGUUAAUGAGUCUGAUGCCAGUGCCUUGUUCUGACCUUGGGCACAUCAUUUAACCCUUUGCACCUCAAUUUCCUCAUAUGAAGAUGGGACGAUGUUGCUGACCUUGAAUACUUGACAGUUACACACACACACACACACACACACACACACACAAAUGCUACUAUUUACUGAGUACUUCUUAAGAACUCAACAGUUUUGUGGGCUUUUAUCAUCCCCAUUCUACAGGUGAGGAAACUGACACUCAGAAAGGUUCAUUGAGUGACUUGCUAAUAAUUGGCAGAGCACGACCCCAGGCUAUUUGGCUUCAUAGCCCAUGGCCUCAACAAUCUGCUGGAGCGCCAGUGUCUGAAUGCUUAAUAAGUGGCCCUUCCUUCUCAGCAAACGAGCUCUCAGAGGCAUGGAAAAGUCUGUCUUCCUGAGGAUUACACAUACAAGAUGGCUUGCUUGUAGGGCAGGGGCCAGCUCAGACCUGCCUCAGCUCCUUGCCCAGCUCUGACCAGAGAUGAGGCUCUUAUCCAUACUUGUUCCACGACUGAAGGAAUUUGAAAUUUAUAUAUUCUCCAUUUUUCUCCAUAAUCUGUCGGCCUCUCUUUUUGAGAAGUCACCUUUAAAUCUCUCUGAGCUGUCUUUAUCUAAAUACCAUUUUAUCAGUCAUCGAGCCAUUAGUUGGUACUACUGUAUCUGACUCUAGAUCUGGUGAGACAUCAGAGGGCCCUGUGUGGUCUCCAGGACCGUUUGUGCUCAAGCCAUUUCUAACUGCCCUCUGUGGUGUCCCGGGUAGCAUCACAGGGCAUGGAGGCCCGAAGCUGCCUGGCCACAUUCCAGGACCACAUCCUGGGAAGGCCUCGGUGACAACAUGAAAAUGAUGUUGAAAUCGAGGCUCAGAAACUACAUGAUGCAAGUUCCUCCAGAGAGGUUCUUCAGUCUGGAUUUCAGGAUGGAAAAUGUGUCCUGACUGAGAAGCCAGCAAAGGAAGGUGCUGGAUUCUGAAAGCUCAGGUGGCAGAGAAACUCUCCCCUCUGAGGGUCCUUCAGUGACUGAGGACCAUGUUCCAAGAACACAGCAUGGGAUUUGUUGUCUGCAGGCGAGAUAUAAGAGUGGUUAUCUGUGAGAGGGGGCAUUACAAACAAUUUCUAUUUCUGUUGUGUAUUUUUUUUAUUUUCCAAAUUUUCUAUAAUGAAUGUGUUAUUUUAUAUGCCUUAACAAAAAAUUGUGAUUAGAAAAAUUGCCAUUUAAAAAAAUUGUAGAGGCUGACCUGGUGGUGUAGUGGUUACAUUUGCAUGCUCUGUUUCGGUGGCCCAGGGUUCACCAGUUUGGAUCCUGGACGCAGACCUACAUACCACUCACCAAGCUACGCUGAGGCAGCAUCCCACAUAGAAGAACUAGAAGGACCUCCAACUAGGAUAUACAACUAUGUAUCGGGGAGCUUUGGGGAGAAAGAAAAGAAAGAGGAAGAUUGGCAACAGAUGUUAGCUCAGGGCCAAUCUUUCUCACCAAAAAGCAGAAAAAAUUUUUUUUACAUUUCUGGUCCUUAAAUAACUUGUAAUAGGAAAUCACUGACAUAUUCAAAAUUAUAGAAUCACAUGAAAUUACCAUAAUGAUAAUUUUAGACUUAAUGUACCCAAACCAAAUGCUUAUUUAUUUGUUCCUUUCUCUUCCCAAAUGUCCUCCAACACUGGCUUCCCCAUUUCAGUAAGGAGCUGCUCCCAUUCACCCCGUUGCUCAGGUCAGAGGCCUGGAAUCAUCCAUGACCUCUUCUCUCACCAUGUGUAUCCAGUAACACAGCAGUGAAUCCUGUCUUCUCUGCUUUUGAAAAAUAUCCAGAAGACUUCUUUCCACUGUAACCACACUGGUCUGAGCCAGCAUCAUUUCUCCCCCAGAGUAUUGUGGAGCCUUCUAAUGGGUGAUCUGCCCCGCCCCCAACUUAUUCUUUGCAUGGCGGGGAGAGAGACUUUCUAAAUGUCCCUUCUCUGUCAGAUCUCUCUAUGGAUUCUCAUCUCACCCAGAAUAAAACUCACACAUUAAAUAGCUUCAAAAACAUGAUUUUAAAAAAUGGCUACGUGGGCUGAGUAGUACGAUAUAGGAAGAUAAUUUAUUUACCUAUGAGUGGACCCCCUGUAUUUAUUAAUAGCAUGCCAUGAUUCGCAUAAACAGUGUCUUUCUUUACAUCUCAGAUCAUUUAUCGAAGAUGGAUUCUUAGAGGUAGAACUAUUAAAUAAAGGUAACUAAAUAAAAGAAACUUGUCUGGUUUCAUUAGGGAAGAAGUUGAAUAAUGCUGCCAGUUUAAUUUCUGGAAAGUUUGUUCCAGUUUAUAUUUCCACCAAAUGCGUAUAAGGGUAUCUGGAAAACCAUACCCUCAGCAGCAGUGAAUUUUACAGGUUUGUCCUGUAUUCCAACGUCAUCAUUUAAAAUCUUAACUUCAUAAUUUAAAAUAUUAUAUUUAUUUGUUUUAAUUGCAUUUAUUUUAUUACAAGUGGCUCAUUUAUCUUUUUU
ensembl:lncRNA